GCUGACACAUUCCAGCCAAUCAGCAGCAGACCCUCCCUCCCAGUCCCUCCCACCUCCUGGACAGCAUCCAUUUUGAAGCUGCAUUCUUAGUGAGCUGUCCAGGAGGUGGGAGGGUCUGGGAGGGAGGGUCUGCUGCUGAUUGGCUGGAAUGUGUCAG
rnacentral:miRNA from 1 species